ACAGCCACCACUGCCAGCCGCUUCUACAGGAUCGACCGCGCCCAGGUGAGCGAUUGCAGGCCUGCUCCAGCCACAGCUGCUUCCAGGCCCCAGGGUCGCCUCUCCUGGGACGCCUUCCCUGUUAGCUCCCCCGAUGGGCUCACCUCUGUCCUCAUGCCUCUGAGGGCUUUUACUAUUGCCUGUGUGCAUGGACAGCGCGCGGCCCUGCCCUCCACACUGGAGAGUAUAGGGCGGUGCCAGCCAGAAAGGCAGUGGGGUACCUACCAAAGGCUUGCUGGGUGGGUAGGAGGGCCUGGAAGCCCAGAGCCAUCCAGGGAGACACAGAAGCAAAGGCACUCUGGUCAGGCGCCAGCUCACCUGGUAAAGUCUGGGCAGUCGGAGGAGGUGUCAGGAAUGGGAAGGAGUGGGAGAGGGACAGGCAGGGCCCCUUGCCUGGCCACCUCCUUUCAGUGUUUGUGCUCAUGGCAGAGGCUUCUCCAGGUCUACCAGCCUUGCUGCCCCUCGGCCCCCACCGUCAGGUGCCCUGACCUCCCGCCCUGACCUCCCCCCACAGGAGCACCUCAACUAUGUGACUGAGAUCGCACAGGAUGAGAUUUAUAUCCUGGACCCUGAGCUGCUGGGGGCAUCGGCCCGGCCUGACCUCCCAACCCCCACUUCCCCUCUCCCCACCUCACCCUGCUCACCCACGCCCCGGUGAGUCCUGGUGUCCCGUCCCUCCAGCCCCUGGCUUUCAGCCCCACCUGUAAGCCGAUGACUUCUGAAUCCCUGCUUCCAGCCCCUCCACCAGUUAACUAAAUGGUGUCAACCUGAACCUGGCCAAAGCCCACCUGACGGCCUUCAGCCCUGCGGUUCUCUGGGGAAGCGGCCUCACGUCCACCCUGGUUCCCUCCCUGACUUCUCCCUCCUCUGGACCUCAUCCUUCAGCCAGUCCUGGCAGCCCCCGGACCCACCACCUGAGCACUCCUCCCCACCCCUACUGCCACCAGCCCUUCCUGGCUGCCACGCCCUGGCCCCCAGCUCUUGUAUCCCUGUGGCCAUUCGUGCCCUCGAACCCCCAUCUCCAUACCACGGUCAACUAAAAAUGCAGAACAUACCAGGCCACUCCCCAACCUAGAAGCUUCUUUCUCAGCAGCCCUUUGGACGUGGAUUCUCCCCAGGCCCCCCGUCAUUGCACUGGGCUCCCAGCCCCCUCCCUGAGUUCACCUCCAUGGUCCUGCCCCACUCUCUUCUCUUGGUUCUUUGAGGCGUCAGGUGUUUGCCACCACUGGACUUCUGUCAUCGCUGCCUCCAACUCUUCCCCCAUCUUUCCGGAGCUCCCCCACCCCCAUCCCCUUUGAAUCUCAGCUUGGCUGUUUCCUCCUUGGAGAGAUCACUCCCAGGACCCCCUCUGCAGGGGGGCCACAUCACCUGUUCUGAAUUCUUCAGAGCACCCCUGCUCUCAGAACUCCUUAUUUAUUUGACUUGUUUGCAUCCCUGAACUAGAAUGUAAGCUCCAUGAGGGCAAGGCCUUCCUCUGUCUCGUUUCCCUGCUGUAUCCCCAGUGCCUGGAAUAGUGCUUGGUGUGUAGCAGGCACUCAAUAAACUGUGGAAAGGAUGAAGAUGCCCCCAGUUGGGGUUGGGGAGGGCGACCAGCUGGCCUGUGCCGUAGCCGGUCACAGCACAUCAUGCUCUGUUGCAGGUCACUGCAAGGGGAUGCUGCACCCCCUCAAGGUGAGGCCUCUCCCUCUGGGGCCCCUCCUUUCUGCCUGGUUGGGGGCAGGAGGCUCAGUGGGGUGGGGAUAGGGCCCAGACACAGCCUUACACAAACACAGCCUUUGAGCUUCACGCACCAACCGAGCCCUGGGCACACACGCCCGGCCGGCACAGUCCUGUCCACUGAGGCACCAACCCAAGCCCAGGCCUCCGACUGCAGAGUAACAGGCAGGUAUUCCGUGCAGGUGAAGAGCUGAUUGAGGCUGCCAAGAGGAACGACUUCUGUAAGGUACUAGCUCCAGGCUCCAGUUCCUUCCCCCAGCAGCUCCCUCGGGCCCUGGGGAGCGAGGCCUCUGGGUUGGGCCAAGAGCUGACCUGCUCAGGUGCUGUCAUCUGUCAUCGUCUGGCCCUCUGUGGGAUCUCCAGUGAUCGUCCCAUUCCACUUCACUGUAUCUCUGUCUAGGCCACAAUAGAUGGCUCCUAGUAGGGGCUUCCUAGCUCAGUCCACUUGUCCCUGGUGCUUAGAAAGGAGCAGGUCAGAGGAAGCACUGCUCCAGGGCUUGGUCACCAAUGCUGCCAGAGAGCCCACAGGCUGUGGGGUGAGAGGCCCACAGAGGCAACUCGGGAGUAAGAUGUGUGAGCGCACUCGUUUCAGGCCUGUGCUGGUGUACCCGGCUGUGGGCCAGCGUGUGAGCUCGGGGAAGGAGGGGUGGCCCCAGGAGGUCCAGCCCUGCCAUGCCUCCUGCCCUCAGCUCCAGGAGCUGCACCGAGCUGGGGGCGACCUCAUGCACCGAGACGAGCAGAGUCGCACGCUCCUGCACCACGCAGUCAGCACUGGCAGCAAGGAUGUGGUCCGCUACCUGCUGGACCACGCCCCCCCAGAGAUCCUUGAUGCGGUGGAGGAAAAGUAAGUAUCUGGGCAGUGCAGAACCGUGGUCACCCCAGAAACCACCCUUUUCCCCACCCCUCCUAUUUUGUCAGGUCAGAGCCCAUAAACUUCCUGGUCACAUCUGUCAUCCCCUGGGCCACCCCUAUUGCCCCAGAGCCCUGAACUUCCUGCCCUUUCUGAUGGCCCUUGGGAGACAGAUGGGUGGAUCAGGGGACGGGAUGGGGUACACAGCCAGCCCCUGCUCCCCCAGCGGGGAGACCUGUUUGCACCAAGCAGCGGCCCUGGGCCAGCGCACCAUCUGCCACUACAUCGUGGAGGCCGGGGCCUCGCUCAUGAAGACAGACCAGCAGGGCGACACUCCCCGGCAGCGGGCUGAGAAGGCUCAGGACACCGAGCUGGCCGCCUACCUGGAGAACCGGCAGCACUACCAGAUGAUCCAGCGGGAGGACCAGGAGACGGCUGUGUAGCGGGCCGCCCGCGGGCAGCAGGAGGGACAAUGCGGCCAGGGGACGAGCGCCUUCCUUGCCCACCUCACUGCCACAUUCCAGUGGGACAGCCACGGGGGGACCUAGGCCCCAGGGAAAGAGCCCCAUGCCGCCCCCUAAGGAGCCGCCCAGACCUAGGGCUGGACUCAGGAGCUGGGGGGCCUCACCUGUUCCCCUGAGGACCCCGCCGGACCCGGAGGCUCACAGGGAACAGGACACGGCUGGGUUGGAUAUGCCUUUGCGGGGGUUCUGGGGCAGGGCGCUCCCUGGCCGCAGCAGAUGCCCUCCCAGGAGUGGAGGGGCUGGAGAGAGGGAGGCCUUCGGGAAGAGGCUUCCUGGGCCCCCUGGUCUUCGGCUGGGUCCCCAGCCCCCGAUCCUGCCCCACCCCACCUCCCCCGGGCUUCCUCCCGGAAACUCAGCGCCUGCUGCACUUGCCUGCCCUGCCUUGCUUGGCACCCGCUCCGGCGACCUUCCCCGCUCCCCUGUCAUUUCCUCGCGGACUGUGCGGCCUGGGGGUGGGGGGCGGGACUCUCACGGUGACAUGUUUACAGCUGGGUGUGACUCAGUAAAGUGGAUUUUUUUUUC
rnacentral:sRNA from 1 species